ACCUGACCCCAUGCCGCACUCAGAAGUGAAACGCCGUAGCGCCGAUGGCAGUGUGGGGCCUCCCCAUGCGAGAGCAGGGAACUGCCAGGC
rnacentral:rRNA from 1 species